rnacentral:misc_RNA from 1 species
AACUUUCGGCAAUGGAUCUCUUGGCUCUCGCAUCGAUGAAGAACGCAGCGAAAUGCGAUAAGUAAUGCGAAUUGCAGAAUUUCCGUGAGUCAUCGAAUCUUUGAACGCACAUUGCGCCCACUGGUAUUCCGGUGGGCAUGCCUGUUCGAGCGUCAUUAUCCUCCCUCAAACCUCGGGUUUGGUGUUGGACCCAAGUUGUGUGAACAACUGGUCUCAAAGACAAUGACGGCGUCCGUGGGACCCUCGGUGCAACGAGCUUCUAGGAGCACGCGUCGAGUUUCGAGGACCUUCCGGGCCGGUCUCCUUUACCAUUUUAACAAGGUUGACCUCGGAUCAGGUAGGAAUACCCGCUGAACUUAAGCAUAUCAAUAAGCGGAGGCU